rnacentral:sRNA from 1 species
GUGAGCAAAGGAAGAAUCGGAAGAGGAAGAGGAAGAGGAGAGGUUUCGAAGCGAUCUAUU